rnacentral:rRNA from 1 species
UACGGAGGAGGCAAGCGUUAUCCGGAAUUAUUGGGCGUAAAGCGUCCGCAAGUGGCACUUCAAGUCUGUCGUCAAAGACUGGGGCUUAACCCUGGAAAGGCGGUGGAAACUGAAGCGCUAGAGUGCGGUAGGGGUAGAGGGAAUUCCCGGUGUAGCGGUGGAAUGCGUAGAGAUCAGGAGGAACACCGGUGGCGAAGGCGGGUCUCUGGGCCGAUACUGACGCUGAGGAGCGAAAGCGUGGGGAGCGAACAGG